CCCAUGGCUCAACCAUGGAACUGCAUUGGAAACUGCUGAGCUCGAGGAUGAGAGAGGCUGGUGGAAUUCCUGGUGUAGCGGUGGAAUGCGUAGAUAUCAGGAAGAACACUCGUGGCGAAGGCGGCCAGCUGGCUCAUUUCUGACGCUGAGGCACGAAAGCCAGGGGAGCGAACGGGAUUAGAUACCCCGGUAGUCCUGGCCGUAAACGGUGAACACUAGACGUCGGGGGUAUCGACCCCCUCGGUGUCGCAGCAAACGCAUUAAGUGUUCCGCCUGGGAAGUACGACCGCAAGGUUGAAACUCAAAGGAAUUGACGGGGGCCCGCACAAGCGGUGGAGUAUGUGGUUUAAUUCGACGCAACGCGAAGAACCUUACCAGGGCUUAAACUGCAGGGUAAACCCCCUGAAAGGGGGGCUGCUUCGGCGAUCCUGUAGAGGUGCUGCAUGGCUGUCGUCAGCUCGUGUCGUGAGAUGUUGGGUUAAGUCCCGCAACGAGCGCAACCCUUGUCGUUAGUUACCAGCAAUUCGGUUGGGGACUCUAACGAGACUGCCGUCGUAAGGCGGAGGAAGGUGGGGAUGACGUCAAGUCCUCAUGGCCCUUAUGUCCUGGGCUACACACGUACUACAAUGGUCGGUACAACGGGCAGCGACAUCGCGAGAUGAAGCAAAUCCCUUAAAGCCGGCCCCAGUUCAGAUUGCAGUCUGCAACUCGACUGCAUGAAGGCGGAAUCGCUAGUAAUCGCGGAUCAGCAUGCCGCGGUGAUACGUUCCCGGGCCUUGUACACACCGCCCGUCACAUCACGAAAGUCGGUUGUAGCGGAAGUCGCCGAGCUAACCUUCGGGAGGCAGGUGCCCAUGCUAUGACCGGUAAUUGGGAUGAAG
rnacentral:rRNA from 1 species